AUGGCCCCGGUGCGACCAGAGCAGUCACCGGCCAUCUGUGGGCCAGGUCCCUCCACCAUGAGGAGUGGGAACGUGGUCCUGACCUCUCUAUGCCCAUCUCACAGUGUGUUCCAUGUUCCAGAGCCCAUGACUCCCCCCAGCAUCUUCCCACUGAGCCUCCCACGGUCCCAGUCCAGAGACCCUGUGGUACUUGGCUGCCUGAUCAAGGAUUUCUUCCCCUCGGGACCUGUGAGUGUGACCUGGAGCAAGACUGGGGAACAAGUGAUCGUCAUAAACUUCCCACCUUCCCUGACUAAGGAGGGGAACCGGUACAUCACGAGCAGCCAGCUGAGCCUGCCAGCUGACGAGUGCCCAGAGGACACGAACGUCACAUGCUCUGUGCAACAUGCCACAAAUCCCACCAAAGAAGUGGAAGUGCCAUGCUCAGGUGAGAGGCGACCGGCCCUUGAGGACCUGCUCCUGGGCUCAGACGCCAGCCUCACAUGCACACUGAGUGGCCUGAAGAGCCAGAAGGCGGCCACCUUCUCCUGGAAGCCCACAGGCGGGAAGACUCCCAUCCAGAAGCCUGCUGAGCCUGACUCCUGUGGCUGCUACCGUGUGUCCAGUGUGCUGCCUGGCUGUGCCGAACUCUGGAACAGUGGGCAGACCUUCACCUGCACGGCCACCCACCCUGACUUCGAAGGCACCCUGACCGCCACCAUCACAAAGACCACAGAGAACUUCAUCCAGCCUCAGGUCCAUCUGCUGCCGCCGCCGUCGGAAGAGCUGGCUCUGAACGAGCUGGUGUCACUGACAUGUCUGGUGCGGGGCUUUAGCCCUAAGGAUGUGCUGGUGCGCUGGCUGCAUGGGAGCCAAGAGCUGCCCCGCAGCAGCUACCUGGUGUGGGAUCCACUGAAGGAGCCCGAAGAGGGUGCUAACACCUAUGCUGUGACCAGUGUGCUGCGGGUGACAGCCGCGGACUGGAAGCAGGGGGAAAACUUCUCUUGCAUGGUGGGCCAUGAGUCCCUGCCCCUGUUCUUCACCCAGAAGACCAUCGACCACCACUCGGGUAAACCCACCCAUGUCAACGUGUCUGUGAUCAUGUCGGAGGCAGAUGGCACUUGCUAUUGA